GAAGUACUCCCUCCGUCCGGAAAAGCUUGUCCCUCAAAUGGAUGUAUCUAACACUAACUUGGUGCUAGAUACAUCCAUUUGAGGGACAAGUUUUUCCGGACGGAGGGAGUAGGAA
rnacentral:pre_miRNA from 1 species